rnacentral:ncRNA from 1 species
AGACAGGUUAGUUUUACCCUACUGAUGAACCGCGCCGCAAUAGUAAUUCAACUUAGUACGAGAGGAACCGUUGAUUCACACAAUUGGUCAUCGCGCUUGGUUGAAAAUUCAAUGGCGCGAAGCUACCGUGUGUCGGAUUAUGACUGAACGCCUCUAAGUCAGAAUCCACACUAGAAGUGGCGCUUGUCAGUCCUCGACUGUAUCUUGACCCGUAGUAGGGGUGUCGCUUCGGCACCCCCAGGGGCCUGUGUCACUUGCGAACCUCGGCCGGGAAGCGUCUCGGUUGGGGCAGCUUUGAAGUUCAAUUUCAAACGGUCGUUGAGAAGAAUCCUUUGCAGACGACUUAAAUAUGAGGUUUCCGAAGCUGGGCCGCGGGCGAAACCGCCCAAGUGCGGGGGGAAAUUCGGGGUUUCCG